rnacentral:lncRNA from 1 species
UUACACCUACCAACAUGCUAAUCCACAGUAUAUUAAUCAACCAAACCUAAUCCUUGCAUUACACAUCUCAAACGCUUGCAAAUUAUCAGCAGUACAAACUCUAAAGAGCAGAAGAGAUAUCAGAAAAAAAGAUAUGAAUAAAGCAUCUGUAAAGCUGGUUUUUUUGGUUGUCUUCUUCAUUUUCAUUGCAGGUAUUUAGUUUCUUUUCUGGGUAUUAUUAUUAGAAAAAAUGCGGGUAUGAUUUAAAAAUAUUCUACUAAUAUUAUCGGAUAACGCGAUUGUAGGUGGAACUUCAAACAAUGGAGUAGAAGGAAGAGUUAAUCCAUUGGUGUGCUCAUUAUGUGAUCCCGCAUGCAUUUGCAGCUUUUUCGGAAGCUGCAUUUGCGGCGAGAAAUCACCGGUAACUUCUCAUAUCUCGAACAUCGGGUCAACAAUUACGAGAUAAAAUGUUUGGCUUCAUGUGAAGAGCAAGGGCGUUGCUUGGAUGGUACUUGCAUAUGCCCCUAGUGAUAAUAGUUGAAUAAUAAAAUAAGCAUUAAUCAUGUAGUUUUGGUUCGGGGAGGAACUUGUAACUUUUUUAUCUAAAGUUAUCAAUUCACUCUACUAAUUUCUCUUUUUUAUUUUUAGUCGAAGAACAUUUUUUCAACAUAAACUUCAAUUUCGAACGCAUAAUAUGUAGUGGUAGCUAUCGUAAUCUCGAAUCGAUGAAGUCA